AUUGAACGCUGGCGGCAGGCUUAACACAUGCAAGUCGAGCGGGGUGAUGGUGCUUGCACUAUCACUUAGCGGCGGACGGGUGAGUAAUGCUUAGGAAUCUGCCAAUUAGUGGGGGACAACAUCUCGAAAGGGAUGCUAAUACCGCAUACGUCCUACGGGAGAAAGCAGGGGAUCACUUGUGACCUUGCGCUAAUAGAUGAGCCUAAGUCGGAUUAGCUAGUUGGUGGGGUAAAGGCCUACCAAGGCGACGAUCUGUAGCGGGUCUGAGAGGAUGAUCCGCCACCCUGGGACUGAGACACGGCCCAGACUCCUCCGGGAGGCAGCAGUGGGGAAUAUUGGACAAUGGGAGGAACCCUGAUCCAGCCAUGCCGCGUGUGUGAAGAAGGCCUUAUGGUUGUAAAGCACUUUAAGCGAGGAGGAGGCUCUUUUGGUUAAUACCCAAGAUGAGUGGACGUUACUCGCAGAAUAAGCACCGGCUAACUCUGUGCCAGCAGCCGCGGUAA
rnacentral:rRNA from 1 species